rnacentral:rRNA from 1 species
GGAAGGAUCAUUACCGAGUUGAUUCGAGCCCGGCUCGACUCUCCCACCCAAUGUGUACCUACCUCUGUUGCUUUGGCGGGCCGCGGUCCUCCGCACCGGCGCCCUUCGGGGGGCUGGCCAGCGCCCGCCAGAGGACCAUAAAACUCCAGUCAGUGAACUUUGCAGUCUGAGAAACAAGUUAAUAAACUAAAACUUUCAACAACGGAUCUCUUGGUUCUGGCAUCGAUGAAGAACGCAGCGAAAUGCGAUAAGUAAUGUGAAUUGCAGAAUUCAGUGAAUCAUCGAAUCUUUGAACGCACAUUGCGCCCCUUGGUAUUCCGAGGGGCAUGCCUGUUCGAGCGUCAUUUCAACCCUCAAGCUCUGCUUGGUAUUGGGCUCCGUCCUCCACGGACGCGCCUUAAAGACCUCGGCGGUGGCGUCUUGCCUCAAGCGUAGUAGAAAACACCUCGCUUUGGAGCGCACGGCGUCGCCCGCCGGACGAACCUUUGAAUUAUUUCUCAAGGUUGACCUCGGUC